AGUUUUGUUUUAUGUCGUCUGAGUUUUUCAGACGACAUAACUUUUUUUUGUGUUGUCUGAAUAUAGACUAAAACCAUACUCGUUCAAUUUGAAAAAAUGGUGAGCAUUCAGACAACACAUUUGUGUAGUUGUAAAAGAUGAUGAUUUCCUAUCUCAAAUGCGGAGGGAUAUCCAAAAUUUGAUCAAGUACUUUUCCCUCUCAAAUAGCCGAACUCUAGUUGACUAGAAAAUGUUGUGACAUUUAGACAACAUUUAAAUGUCGUCUGAGUGUGGAGCUUGUUUUAAAAUUUUUGAAGUUAUUUUGACUUGUGCUUUUUUACAUAGAUCCCUCGUAAUUAAAUCAUUUUCUGUCCUUCUCACUCCAACACCAGCCCGCGCGCUCUCUCUUUCUCACUCAGCUCGACCUAGAACCCGCGAAACUGGAAAACUCAAACACCAGCCUCUCUCCUUCUCACUCAGCUCUCUCAGAUCUCUCAGAUCUCGAUUCUCACUCUCUCCUCUCUCCUUCAUCUUCUCACUCUCUCGAUUCUUCUUGGUCUCUCCUUCUUCUUCUUAGCCUCUACUUCAUCUUUCGCGACCGGAUUAGUGGACCUCCCCAGCAACAACAGAGCUGUUUUUAAUUCGGAUAUUGGGAAACUUGGUGCUACAAAAGGAUUUGCUGGGAAGGAUGUAGUGAUUGUGGCGGCCUACCGAACUGCCAUUUACAAAGCAAAGCGAGGCGGUUUUAAGGAUACUUUAGCUGAUGAUUUACUGGCACCUGUUUUGAAGAUAUGGAGGAUGAAGUUAGAGAAUUGGGGGAAAGAAGAGGAACUUCAAGUUUGGAUGCCCAAGGCUGAGAAGGUUGUAGGGAUUCAAGGGGGAUGCUUGGCCUACAUUACCUGUUGAAGAUCUUGCUGACUUUUCCUUCCAGACAACGCCUAUGUAUAUAGAUGUGGAUGAUGGGAGAACUAAGGCCACGAAUAUAGGACUGCAACAGGACUAUUGUCUUGUGCCAAGUGCCAAGAGAUUUUAUUCUCCUAUAUUCUUUCCUGACGAGGAAUCUAUCAAAGAAAGUGAUGGUCUUCUUCUCUUCUUGCAACUCAGUUUCUUGGAAACAAUAAGUUGAAUGGCACUCUCUCUGAAUCGAAAAGCUCAUCUCUUCUCAAUGUAUGAGUUAAAUGCCUCACUAAGCUGCACAUGAGUUAAAUGCAGACGAGUAGACCACCUACCAGAUUUGCAGCAAAGGUUUUUGUUCUUUUUUCUGCAAUAUCUUGUUCCUCAUUGAGAAUGAAGACUAGUUGCUCUUGUAAUAUGCAGCAUAAGUCUAUAUGGGGGUCAAGAAAGAUUUGUGUCUCUGCAAUGGGUCAGCAGGUUUGUGUCUCUGCAAGCUCACUGGCCAUUCCGUUUUCUAUGACCACUUCUAUGAUUUGGGUGAUUCCGUUCAUGAUCAGAUUGUGAAACUAGUACAGCAGUACAGCAGUAUAGCUAGCUAGUUCCUUUAUUAACUUGUGUCUAGUAGAAAUUUUUCAUUCAUUAAGCAUUUAGACUUGUCUUCAGAUCCAGAUUAGUAUAUAUGAGUUAUUUUGAACUGAAGUUCAUGAUUAAGUUUGUGUACAUGAGAUACUAGUGGAUUAAUGGAAAUUGCAAUGAAUGAUUUUGAAUGUGGAUUUUAUGGUUUCAUACUUUCA